rnacentral:rRNA from 1 species
AUUGAACGCUGGCGGCAUGCCUUACACAUGCAAGUCGAACGGCAGCGGGGACUUCGGCCCGCCGGCGAGUGGCGAACGGGUGAGUAAUGUAUCGGAACGUACCAUUCAGUGGGGGAUAACUAUCCGAAAGGAUAGCUAAUACCGCAUAUCCUGUGAGCAGGAAAGCAGGGGAUCGCAAGACCUUGCGCUGAUUGAGCGGCCGAUACCAGAUUAGCUAGUUGGUGAGGUAAAGGCUCACCAAGGCGGCGAUCUGUAGCGGGUCUGAGAGGAUGAUCGGCCGCACUGGAACUGAGACACGGUCCAGACUCCUACGGGAGGCAGCAGUGGGGAAUUUUGGACAAUGGGGGCAACGCUGAUCCAGCCAUGCCGCGUGAGUGAAGAAGGCCUUCGGGUUGUAAAGCUCUUUCGGCCGGGAAGAAAUCGCACGGGCUAAUACCCUGUGUGGAUGACGGUACCGGAAUAAGAAGCACCGGCUAACUACGUGCCAGCCGCCGCAGUAACAC